rnacentral:lncRNA from 1 species
CUCAUUGAAAGGUUUAUUCAAAGCUCCCAUUCUCAUCUUCCUUAGGCCGCUAUUGCCUUAUUUUUCUUGAUAGAUAUUUAGAAGCCUAGUAAAGCAUAAUAAAAAUGAUUUUUUGCUGUGUAGUCGACCUCCAGCCUGCCUUGUAAUCGAUAAGAAAGAACAUUACUGUCAUCUUGGAGAAAGAUUCAAGAGUCUUAGGAUGAAAAUACAUAUAUAGAUAGUGGUCUAAUGAUAAAGGCGGACGACAGAAGUGAGGCAUUUGUUAUGUUCUUUAUUGCUGUAAGGAAGUUUCGUCUUGUCACGAGCCGGAUUUGAACCAGC